rnacentral:rRNA from 1 species
CACGUAGUUAGCCGGUGCUUCUUAUCCAGGUACCGUCACCCGAAGGCUUCUUCCCUAGCGAAAGAGGUUUACAACCCGAAGGCCGUCAUCCCUCACGCGGCGUCGCUGCAUCAGGCUUCCGCCCAUUGUGCAAUAUUCCCCACUGCUGCCUCCCGUAGGAGUCUGGGCCGUGGCUCAGUCCCAAUGUGGCCGUCCACCCUCUCAGGCCGGCUACCCGUCGUCGCCUUGGUAGGCCAUUACCCCACCAACAAGCUGAUAGGCCGCGGGCUCAUCCUCCACCGAAAAAACUUUCCACCAACCACACUAAAGAUUGGUCCUAUCCGGUAUUAGACCCAGUUUCCCAGGCUUAUCCCGAAGUGAAGGGCAGAUCACCCACGUGUUACUCACCCGUUCGCCACUCGAGUACCCCUGCAAGCAGGGGCCUUUCCGUUCGACUUGCAUGUGUUAAGCACGCCGCCAGCGUUCGUCCUGAGCCAGGAUCAAACUCU